rnacentral:rRNA from 1 species
AACGAACGCUGGCGGCAUGCCUAACACAUGCAAGUCGAACGAGACCUUCGGGUCUAGUGGCGCACGGGUGCGUAACGCGUGGGAACCUGCCCUUAGGUUCGGAAUAACUCCCCGAAAGGGGUGCUAAUACCGGAUAAUGUCUUCGGACCAAAGAUUUAUCGCCUUUGGAUGGGCCCGCGUUGGAUUAGCUAGUUGGUAGGGUAAAAGCCUACCAAGGCGACGAUCCAUAGCUGGUCUGAGAGGAUGAUCAGCCACACUGGGACUGAGACACGGCCCAGACUCCUACGCGAGGCAGCAGUGGGGAAUAUUGGACAUUGGGCGAAAGCCUUAGCCAGCAUUGCCUCGUGAGAAAUGAAUGCCUUAGGGUUGUAAAGCUCUUUUACCCGGGAUCAUAAUGAGAGUACCGGGAGAAUAAGCUCCGGCUAACUCCGUG